GUCUUUUAAGAACUUUCGAAGUGAAACUAUUCCAUUCUCUGGAUUUCCGGCCUUCUCUCAGCUCGAUCACCUACGUCGAGGGGUUUACAAUUUAUUCUUUGUCUAUUUAUAUAAACGUACGCACAGACGAUGUUCGAAUUUCGCUCUUAAUUUAUGACCAUUGAUACAAAGGUCCUCGAAAAACAUUCAAGACAUAUCGAUACAAUAGACUAUCGAUAAAUAUUCCCUAGGCAGUGUCGCCACACCACUCUAAACAUAUUCACGUGAUAACAUUUCACGUUACAAUACAGAACUAUACCGCAGUUCACCAGAGUCCAUCUCACGAUCAGAGCACGCGUUCAAUCACGAGAGCAUUGGCUCUCAACCGCGCUCGAUCGUGAUCGUGAACAAAUGCAUUGGCAGAGCGUGGGUAUCGCGGGAAGCAUACGACAAAUGUUUCAUCAUCUUAUGUGGAAUUAUUCGUUCUUCAUGAAUAAUGAUAACGAAUGCGUUUGUUCACGACUACGACCGAGCGCGGUUGAGAGCCAACACUCGUAGUUGAGCGCUCUCAUUGUCCAGUGUUUUUCGUUAAUAAUUCAAAAACGAAGCUUCAACUAACAUUUUGAUAAAGGAAAAAGUUGUUCCGAAUCCCUCCAGUCUCCAGCAACUCCCCAUUUCCGGAUGUCACGAGAGUUAUGGGACACUGUAUACAGAACCAAUAAAGAAUUAAAAAUGUUUAUCUCUUCACACGUUUCUGUAUUUGAAUACUGACUCAGGACCAGGACAAUAGGAGAUGGGCUACUUGCUGAGCUGUUAGCUAUUCAAAACGCAAGCUUCGGAAGUUGAUAUACCAAUUUUUUUAAAUGCUAUGACGGCAGCCGGGAAUUUAAUAUAGCCUAACCUAACGUCUUCUCAUGAUUAUCAAAUCGCUCUGACAACCUUCGUCAAUCAAGACACUGAAUAUCUGCCACUCAUUAUUCCAAUAAGCGUACAACUUGACGUAUGGUGGACGCCUAAUCCAUUACUCCUUGUUCAACGCUUACACCAGUAAGUAUAUCCUCUGACAUGUGGCGGGCACCUGAUCUACCACUCCUUAUUCAGCAUUUACCCCAGUAAAUUCAUAUCCUAAACAACCCUCAUCACUGAUCCAAAUUAAUCUUCCCACUACUUUAACGAGUCGUGGGAAUGCUUGAGUUCAUGGUGACAAGCAGGACUCUUGGACGAAGCCAUACAACCUUCGUUGACCCGACCGACCAUCAGGAGGAUUCCAUUGUGAACGAGAGCUCAUAACACAAUACUCAAACGGUUAAUGAAAUAUAAGUUAUAUAACUAUAAGGAAUUUAACAUUGAAUUAUAAAUAAAUAUAUACUGAAUAAA